UUUUGGACAAUGGGGGCAACCCUGAUCCAGCCAUGCCGCGUGAGUGAAGAAGGCCUUCGGGUUGUAAAGCUCUUUCGGCCGGAACGAAAUGGGCGGGACUAAUACUCCUGUCUGAUGACGGUACCGUAAGAAGAAGCACCGGCUAACUACGUGCCAGCAGCCGCGGUAAUACGUAGGGUGCGAGCGUUAAUCGGAAUUACUGGGCGUAAAGCGUGCGCAGGCGGUUUCGUAAGCUGGAGGUGAAAUCCCCGGGCUUAACCCGGGAAUGGCCUUCAGGACUGCGAGGCUAGAGUGCGGCAGAGGGAGGUGGAAUUCCACGUGUAGCAGUGAAAUGCGUAGAGAUGUGGAGGAACACCGAUGGCGAAGGCAGCCUCCUGGGCCAGCACUGACGCUCAUGCACGAAA
rnacentral:rRNA from 1 species